rnacentral:tRNA from 1 species
AAUUGAGAGAAAUUUCUGAAGAAUAUUGUGAUGGGCUGAACCGAGAAGGUCUACGGUUCGAGUCCGUAUAGCCCUA